AAGCCAGUAAAGAACAUCCCUCCAUGGCCUCUGCAUCAGCUCCUGCUCCCUGACCUGCUUGAGUUCCAGUCCUGACUUCCUUUGGUGAUGAACAGCAGCAUGGAAGUGUAAGCCGAAUAAACCCUUUCCUCCCCAACUUGCUUCUUGGUCAUGAUGUUUGUGCAGGAAUAGAAACCCUGACUAAGACAAAUUGGUACCAGCAGAGUGGGGUAUUCCUGUGACAACCUGACCAUGUUUUGGGGAGGACUGUGGAAGGACUUUGGAACUUUGGGCUUGAAGAUCCAUUCGUUGUUAAGAGCUCUGUCGGAUGUUGUGUAGGAGCUUGGAAGAUAAUGUUGAGAACAGUGCAGAAGAUGGAGGCCUGGCUUGUGAAGUUUCAGAGGGAAAAUUAAAGACUCUUUUCAGGGACAUUGCUAUUUUGGAGUUUGAUUAUUCUGUGGUUCUGGUUAGCUGGGACUGAAGAAUCAGUUGUGAUUAACAAGAUACCAGAACUACUAAAGCAAAACCUUUGCAUUACUGGGACUAUUGAUGCUGGUUAGCUGGAGCUAAGAAAUUAGCGGUGAUUAAGAAGAGACCAGCAUCAUUGAGGUGACAUCUUCUGGAAGUGUUUUCUGAAAGCACAAAGAGGCUGUGUUCCAGAGAUGGCCAAGGUUGUACUCCUGCUGCAGUGGGACUUGGUAAUAUGUAAGGGUCACCCAGGUGGUACUGGUUUUGAAGGCAUGAAGGGGUCACGCAAAGCAGCUGAGGCUCGGCACUGUGAGAGGCCAUGGAAGGCCAUUGGUGAAGGUGCAGCCUCAGUUGCAAUUGAAGGCCCAGGACUGAAGGGGUCAUGCAGUGUUUUAGAGAUUCCAGUACCAUGAGAUGACCACCAAGAGCAGCAGCAGCAGUGGAGUACAGGCAUCUGGAGCCUAGAGGAUGAUGUGUGUGCUACAAAGGGCCUGGCUGGAGAAGUGACCCAAGCCCUUGGAGGAGCCCAGAAGAUCGUGAGUUGGAUCCCAGACAUUGGACGGUUGGAGAUUGACUUUUGCUUUUGAUUGUGACUGUGCCCUGAUAUUUUCCCUCUUGAAGGAAGAAACUGUUUUAGUGGAGCCCACAGUUAAGAGACUUUUAAUUG
rnacentral:lncRNA from 1 species